UACGAAGGGGGCUAGCGUUGCUCGGAAUCACUGGGCGUAAAGCGCACGUAGGCGGCUUGUUAAGUCAGGGGUGAAAUCCUGGAGCUCAACUCCAGAACUGCCUUUGAUACUGGCGAGCUUGAGUUCGGGAGAGGUGAGUGGAACUGCGAGUGUAGAGGUGAAAUUCGUAGAUAUUCGCAAGAACACCAAUGGCGAAGGCAGCUCGCUGGGACGUUACUGACGCUGAGACGCGAAAGCGUGGGGAGCAAACAGG
rnacentral:rRNA from 1 species